ACGCUCGACACCUACGGGGCAGCAGUGGGGAAUAUUGCACAAUGGGGGAAACCCUGAUGCAGCGACGCCGCGUGAGUGAAGAAGUAUUUCGGUAUGUAAAGCUCUAUCAGCAGGGAAGAAAAUGACGGUACCUGACUAAGAAGCCCCGGCUAACUACGUGCCAACAGCCGCGGUAAUCUGAGCGGGCUGGCAAGGC
rnacentral:rRNA from 1 species